CCCACGAAUCUUGAAGUUCCCUACUACUCUCUCCCGUCCUCUCCCUACUGACCGUGUCUCUUCUCCGGCGAUCCCCACGUCGUUGUGGGGGCGGCACCACGGAGCCCGCUGCGAGAGACGGGGCUGCAGCGGAUUGGACGUGGAUGGAGAGGGGAGGAGCGUCUGGGGAGGCGGGGUUGUGACGGAGGGGAUGUGGCCGGCGAGGGGAAGAACGGCGGCAGCGACAGUGUCCUGGUGUGGUUCGUUUGGUCCGGAGCUGGCCAUCCGCGUUAGGUGAGGAAUUAGGCGGGGCGGCACAAAGGAUCUAGCCCCGACACUAGGCGGGAAAGUAAGGAGGAGGGGAGGCACAACGGAUCCAGCCGCCGGAGCUAGGAGAGGAAGGAGCAGGUGGCGGCGGCGCAGCUUCAGAUCUUCUGUAAGAUUUUAGAUCUUGUCCCUAUCCUGGCACAUGAGUGAUUUCCAGAGAAGUUGCCUAUUACACUACAUGGCGCCCAAGCUUCAUUUUGUUCUGUAUGGGUCUGCAAGACAAGGACAUAAGCGCUACAAAGGAAACCGCUCUGGCUAGUCAGUUUGAUCUUGAAAUUUUAGUCCAGUAUUAUGGAACUGACAAGUACUAUGAGUCACUUCUGCUAGAAGUCAAAGAGGAGAAUGAGAGAGAAGUUCUGGUGCUACUGCAGAAGCUGUGGGCAAUAAACUCCAAAAGUUACAGACAAAGCUUGAUAGUUGACUAAGCUGCCAGCAUUAGUAGUUAAAUAUGCAUAGUUAUAUAGAUCGAAGUGAGUCAUGUCCUAUAAAUCCACUAUUAGAGGUAGGGCAGAGACUGAAUUUGCCUGCUGAGGGAAGAUGAUCACAAAUUUUGAAAUUUGUUCCACUGAUGCAUGGUGCCAAUAUUAGUACCUCGUGAUCUUCUGAUGCA